UACAGAGGGUGCAAGCGUUAAUCGGAAUUACUGGGCGUAAAGCGCGCGUAGGUGGUUCGUUAAGUUGGAUGUGAAAUCCCCGGGCUCAACCUGGGAACUGCAUUCAAAACUGUCGAGCUAGAGUAUGGUAGAGGGUGGUGGAAUUUCCUGUGUAGCGGUGAAAUGCGUAGAUAUAGGAAGGAACACCAGUGGCGAAGGCGACCACCUGGGCCGACACUGACGCUGAGGCGCGAAAGCCAGGGGAGCAAACGGG
rnacentral:rRNA from 1 species